CACGAGUUUGAUCAUGGCUCAGAUUGAACGCUGGCGGAAUGCUUUACACAUGCAAGUCGAACGGUAGAGGGGGCAACCCUUGAGAGUGGCGAACGGGUGAGUAAUAUAUCGGAACGUGCCCAGUCGUGGGGAUAACGUAGCGAAAGUUACGCUAAUACCGCAUACGAUCUAAGGAUGAAAGCGGGGGACUCGCAAGAGCCUCGCGCGAUUGGAGCGGCCGAUAUCAGAUUAGGUAGUUGGUGGGGUAAAGGCUCACCAAGCCAACGAUCUGUAGCUGGUCUGAGAGGACGACCAGCCACACUGGAACUGAGACACGGUCCAGACUCCUACGGGAGGCAGCAGUGGGGAAUUUUGGACAAUGGACGCAAGUCUGAUCCAGCCAUUUCGCGUGCAGGAUGAAGGCCCUCGGGUUGUAAACUGCUUUUGUACGGAACGAAAAGGUUUCUAUUAAUACUAGGAGCUCAUGACGGUACCGUAAGAAUAAGCACCGGCUAACUACGUG
rnacentral:rRNA from 1 species